rnacentral:rRNA from 1 species
UACGUAGGGUGCAAGCGUUACUCGGAAUUACUGGGCGUAAAGCGUGCGUAGGUGGUUUGUUAAGUCUGUUGUGAAAGCCCCGGGCUCAACCUGGGAAUGGCAAUGGAUACUGGCAAGCUAGAGUGCGGUAGAGGGUAGUGGAAUUCCCGGUGUAGCGGUGAAAUGCGUAGAGAUCGGGAGGAACACCAGUGGCGAAGGCGGCUACCUGGACCAGCACUGACACUGAGGCACGAAAGCGUGGGGAUCAAACAGG